rnacentral:lncRNA from 1 species
GCUUUUGAUACAAAUUUAGUGAGGUCUUUAUUAUGGACUUCAAAUUUUAUGUACCAAGCUCCCCACUUUUGACUUCAUCCAAACAGGGCGUUAGACAAGGGUCAUUUAUACAACACAUUUUGCACAUAUUGUCUGAGACAAUCUUCUUUUCUGUAGAUUCAGAGUUCAUAAAUAAGUAAAAGAACUAGAUAAAAGCAUAAAAACACAAAUAUUGACACAUGAAAACCUGUCAGAUAGAAAAUCAGGAUGCCAUUUAUGCAUCAAUAUUGAAAAAUCUAUAAAAUGCCUAUUUUGACCAUAAAAUGCCAAAAUUGGUCAUUUUUGCAGAAAUUCUAUCAAAUAAAAGUAUAAAUCCUUUAGUUUCAUGCUAUUUGACAAAUUGACACCAUCAAAUCAUUAAGGGAAGUUGCCAAAGUACAGAUUCUAUAUUUACAGAUUUCACCUCUUAGGUCCGAGAACACAAUUAUUUCGUAGUGCAUUUCUUUUAGAACAUAAAUGAAAAUAAAACAAACCCA